rnacentral:rRNA from 1 species
CGGACGGGUGAGUAAUGUCUGGGAAACUGCCCGAUGGAGGGGGAUAACUACUGGAAACGGUAGCUAAUACCGCAUAACGUCGCAAGACCAAAGAGGGGGACCUUAGGGCCUCUUGCCAUCGGAUGUGCCCAGAUGGGAUUAGCUAGUAGGUGGGGUAAUGGCUCACCUAGGCGACGAUCCCCAGCUGGUCUGAGAGGAUGACCAGCCACACUGGAACUGAGACACGGUCCAG